AGUGAACGCUGGCGGUAGGCCUAACACAUGCAAGUCGAACGGCAGCACAGUAAGAGCUUGCUCUUACGGGUGGCGAGUGGCGGACGGGUGAGGAAUACAUCGGAAUCUACUUUUUCGUGGGGGAUAACGUAGGGAAACUUACGCUAAUACCGCAUACGACCUACGGGUGAAAGCAGGGGAUCUUCGGACCUUGCGCGAUUGAAUGAGCCGAUGUCGGAUUAGCUAGUUGGCGGGGUAAAGGCCCACCAAGGCGACGAUCCGUAGCUGGUCUGAGGGGAUGAUCAGCCACACUGGAACUGAGACACGGUCCAGACUCCUAAGGGAGGCAGCAGUGGGGAAUAUUGGACAAUGGGCGCAAGCCUGAUCCAGCCAUACCGCGUGGGUGAAGAAGGCCUUCGGGUUGUAAAGCCCUUUUGUUGGGAAAGAAAAGCAGCAGGUUAAUACCCCGCUGUUCUGACGGUACCCAAAGAAUAAGCACCGGCUAACUUCGUG
rnacentral:rRNA from 1 species